CCUUCCUGUUCUCUCUCAGAGCACCUACAGUAUAAAUAUGCUUGAAAACCAACUCAUGUUAAACUUUUGAGCCUGAUACCAGCAGAUACUUUACUUUACUAGAAGUAGCAAACAGAAAAAGGAUGGCUGGAGGAUGGUCAGCCCCAAAGACAGCGGAUGAAGAAGUUUGCAUGCUUACUAAAUGGAUGUGGAACAUUUCAGAAUCAAAAACAGGCAGAAAAUACAAGGAAUUCAAUGCAGUUGAAUACCGGUCACAGGUUGUGGCAGGGUAUAACUAUCUCAUCAAGGUUCAGGUUGGAGAAAAUGAUUACAUCCAUCUGAUGAUCUUCCAAAGCCCUCUGCUGGGGGACACAUUUACAACACAAUUUCUAGGAGCCAAUGGUGGCUACAAACAAGACGAUCAUCUUGAUCCAUUCAAAACAUCUAGCUAAAGUG